rnacentral:rRNA from 1 species
CCUACGGGAGGCAGCAGUGGGGAAUAUUGCACAAUGGGGGAAACCCUGAUGCAGCGAUGCCGCGUGAGUGAAGAAGUAUUGCGGGAUGUAAAGUUCUAUCAGCAGCGAAGAAGACAGACGGUAUCAGACUAAGAAGCCCCGGCUAACUACGUGCCAGCAGCAGCGGUAAAACGUAGGGGGCAAGCGUUAUUCGGACUUACUGGGUGUAAAGGGAGCGUAGACGGCGGUGCAAGUCUGAAGUGAAAGCCCAGGGCUCAACCCUGGGACUGCAUUGGAAACUGUGUAGCUAGAGUGCUGUAGAGAUAAGUGGAAUUCCUAGUGUAGCGGUGAAAUGCGUAGAUAUUAGGAGGAAUACCAGUGGCGAAGGCGGCUUACUGGACAUGAACUGACGUUGAUGCUCGAAAGCGUGGGGAGCAAACAGGAUUAGAUACCCCAGUAGUC